UAUUACAAUAUUAAAUUUGUUUUGUAUAUGUUACAAAUAUUUCUAAUUUGUUUCUUACGUUUUAAAUUGGUUUAUAGAAACUCCCGCAUCCAGAAGUUGUAAAUUGUAAUGUGGUCAAAUCUGUCAUCAUUUCGCUGGUAGGGGAGAAAAUAUUUUCCUCUCCCAUCUUAAGGGUUAUGGCUGACACCUCUAUAACAAGGUUAAUGAGAGAAAGGCAUAACAGAUUUAAAGUCUUAUGUGACACAAGAACCUUAAGAAACGAAGACCCCAUGACCUAAAGAAAACUGUAUUUUUAUGCUAAGUCUGAUGAAAGAAGUAGAUAGUUGUGCAGAAACAUGAUUGGACAAAAGGGGCAUCGUCUAAUGGUCAUACAUAGGGGUGGGAGGAGACUUCGGCACGGCCCGUUUGUUCAGAUUCUUUCUUGCGUCUCUGCAUGACACUUCUCCCCCCCAGGUAUGGUGCAAGACUCCUCUAGAAUGAGGGUCUUACGACCUACUUCACAUGAGGUAGGCCAGUGAAUUCCUUUAUGACCCUGCUUUAUGGGAGAAAGGUGGGAGCAGAUUACAGAGAACUUGCUUCUGUGGUUUUCUCAACUGCCAAGGUGCCAUAUUUUGGCCCCUUUAUGGAUUUUGCUUGUGACUUAUCCUGUCCUUGUUAUUGAUUUUAAUAAUACUUCCUGGCAGGGUGUGGUGAUUCAAUUUGCUAAUACUUUAUUUGAACCCUGCAUCUAUUCUUAAAUGAAAUGGGCUUUUGCCUUUUCUUCAGUUGUUCUUGAUCAGAUAUAUAUAUUUUCUUAAAAUAUUUGGGCUAAUCUCAUAAAGUAAGCUAGGUAACAAGAGUUUGGUGAGGUACCAAAUCUAAAACAGGUAGGCAGAUUGUUUUUUCUAUUCUCAUUCUUUCCCAAUUUGGGUCUUUCUGAAGCUAGGAUAGGGCCAGGGCUCCUUACUCAAGAUCACCCUUCCCUAUCCCCCAAACACACACAAUAUCCCCAAAGUGUCAUUGUUCAAGUUCCAACGUGGGGCUAAUUCCUAGGAGCUUGAUCCUCCUACUGGGGCUACUGGUGUUAAUGGCCAUGAGGCCUUGUGAGAGCACAUGUUCAUGACAGUCCAACUCAAAGAAACUAGGAGAGAGUAUUAAGAGAUGGAGAAUUAAACCUUAACUACCGAGCCUUAACUUCUUUAAAUGAAAAAUGAAACUUAUUACCAUCUAAGUCACACGUGUGUUUUGAGAUGUCCAUGAUAAAUUUUGAAAAAGCACCUAGUACGCUGGGUGGCACAAACACGCAGCGGGGCGAGGGCCCCUACGGCAGCGACAGCCUUAAUGGAGUGACCCUCAGCUGUCGUCUCAGUGCCUCCUUCACGGCUGGAAACGGCGAGAACGCUAACACAGCCCUCACUGGGCGAGACGCGGCUUGAACGGUUUAACGGCCCAGAGCGCUGGGAACCCAUCCCGGCACACGCGCCCUUACGGACUGGUCGCUUUAACGACUGCUUUUCACUUUCCGACUGCCCCUCCGCCAGAGGAGAGUCGGACCGCAAGACCGUCACCAACUCCUCGAACUCUGGGGCACCUCAGCCUUCUCCCGCGCCAACGUGGCGCGAAGACCUGGGACACCGCGGGCACCUGGACCAGCGAACCCAAAGCACUGCCUCCGGCGCUAGACCGCAGCAAAAUGUCCGCUCCACGCGCAGGCGCAGCACGUGCUGCCCUCUCCACCCCGGCUCAAGACUCACGCCCCCAGGCUCCCGCAGUGCCCGCCCCUCCCAGGGUCGCGGCUCAGGAUUGGUUCAGGGGUUGCGCGGGCUCUGAUUGGGCGAGGCGGAGUCACCAGGGCGCCUUAUCUUUACGUGGCCGUCUUCCCCGCGCGCUUUGGAUCUGGGGCAAUAGCUGAGAGGGCGUCACCAGCGUGUGGGCGCCCGCGGUUUUCUUCGGGCUGUCCCUAGGCGUCGUGCCCGCGUCCGUCACGCGCGGUGGCUUCCAGGGGCGCACCGCGACAGCCUUAAAGGAAAACCUGUUAGGGACAAGGGCUGCUGUGGGCAGCGAGGGUUAUAGACUCGUGUGUUCUGAAUUCUGGUGGGGGUAGUGAUGUACGCUGCCCCAGUUCACAGAAUUAUCUGACUGGGGAAGUAAAGGAAAAAAAAUCAAGGUGAACUGAAGAAAAUAAGUCUUUCCCCAAAGGAGGUAGAAGAUGGGGAAGAUGAGAUGUCAGAAGCUAAGGACAAUGGCAGUAGAGAUGAGGUUCUUGUCCCUCAUAAGAAUUGCAGGAAGAAUACAACUGUCCCAGGAAGGAAAGGGGAGGAAAAGUCUCUGGCUCCUGUGUUUGCUGAGAAGUUGAUAUCACCAAGCAGGAGGGGAGCCAAGCUCAAGGACUGUGAGAGCCACCAGGAGAAUGAAGACAGGAACAGUGAGUUGGACCAGGAUGAGGAAGAUAAAGAAUCCUUCUUCAGGGGGUUCCUGAUCAAAAUGCCAAAACACUUUUGAUCAAGAACCUGCCUGACAAAGUCAGUCCACAUGAAUUAAAAGAAGUGUUUGAGGAUGCUUUUCAAAUCAGAUUAGUGAGCAAAGAUGGGAUGAGUAAAAGGUGUAUUUUGCACCUUGUACUGAAUAAGAAUGUAUGUCUACUGGAUACAAACAUAAUGGAAUUUCCAUACAUUCUCUCAAGUCUUUUAUGCCUGAUUUUAGAGAAGGAAAGAGUAGUUAUCCAGAUUUCUGCCAGUAGGCAUAAAAAGCCGAAGGGGACAUCAUAAAGGGACAGCCAAAACUCCUGGAAAACUGUAGUGGUGCUAUAGAGAAAUAGAGACUUCAUCUGCUACCAAGUACAAGAUUGAAGAUUGGAAUUUAUUCAUAGAUUAUGUACAUUCCUUCUUCUCUCUCCAGGGCUGACUCCACUAGAAUAAUGUACUUAGUAACUUGCUUGGACAGUUACCAAAAUAGCACAUAGAAUUGAAUUGUUAGGUUUAUGUUGUAACCAAUUAAUGAAACACUGUCCUUAGGUAUCUAGGCUUUGGUAGAGUAAGGGAGUGAAUAUGGUGAAAUUAGAGAGGGUGGAGUAUAAUAUAUUUUGAAGGGAUUGUCAUUGAGGUGAAAAUUGAGUAUUGGGUUUACAGAUAUAUUUGAGCUAAAUGUGUUGGUGUAGGUGAACUCUAAAAUAAUCUGUAGCAGUAUGUUCUGAUGAAUGUAAUCUCUAGAAAGAAUACUACAGAUCUAACAAGCAUAAGAUAGAACUGUAUGUAUUGACCUGGAAAUCCAUGAUAAGUAUGGGAAAACAAAUCUGAAAGAAUAAAUUCCAAAUUGUUAGCAGUGUUUACUAGCAGGAGAUUUGGGAGCACUCUGCCUAUAGUCUCCAGAAAACCAGCAAACAAAUUCCUGCCAAAAGCUAUAUAAUUUCUCAAAGUUUAAUUAGGUUUUAAUUAAAUAUACUUAAAUCUUUGUAAUCAUUUCUCUACCUGAAGAAUUACUGUGUCACUUCUCAGCCUUUUGGCUAAGAUCAAGUGUAAUAUCUGUUUUUUCAGUUUAAUAUCUGAUAUGUCCUAAAUUAAAAAUAAUAAAAAAUAAAUAAAGGGGAGAUAAGAGAAACCAGAGAAUCCAUGGCCAUGUGAAAUAAAGCAUAGUACCUAUGCUAGAAAAGAGUGUGGUGCAGGCUGGGCAUGGUGGCUUAUGCCUGUAAUCCCAGCACUUUGGGAAGCCAAAGCCGGCGGAUCAUGAGGUCAGGAGAUUGAGACCACCCUGGCCAACAUGGUGAAACCCCAUCUCUACUAAAAUACAAAAAAUUAGCCGGGCGUGGUGGCGCGCUCCUGUAGUCCCAGCUACUCGGGAGGCUGAGGUAGGGGAAUUGCUUGAACCCGGGAGGCAGAGGUUGCAGUGAGCCAAGAUUGGGCCACUGCACUCCAGUCUGGUGACAGAGUGAGACUCCGUCUCAAAAACAAAACAAAACAAAAACAACAACAGAAUGUGGGGCAUUAUGUUUAAGAAUCUGACUCAGACCAGGCACGGUAGCUCAUGCCUAGAAUCCCACCACUUUGGGAGGCCGAGGCGGGGGGAUCACCUGAGCUCAGAAGUUUGAGACCAGCCUGGCCAACAUGGUAAAACUCCGUCUGUAUUAAAAAUACAGAAGAUUAGCCAGUUGUGGUGGUACAUACCUGUAAUCCCAGCUACUCAGGAGGCUGAGACAGGAGAAUCAUUUCAAGCCGGGAGGUAGAGGUUGCAGUAAGCAGAGAUCGUGCCACUUCACUCCAGCCUGGGCAACGAGCAAAACUCUGUCUCAAGAAGAAAGAAUCUGACUUGAUAUGUCCUUAUUCAUACCUUUCACCAAAUUAAAUUACAGGUUCAUUAGAGAUUUCAUGUAAAAUAUGAAACCAUAAAGUAUUAGAGGAAGACAUAGAGAAUAUUUUUGGGUUUUAUUUGUUUUAAUAAUCUUCAGGAGAGGAAGGCCUUUUUAAGUAUGACACAAUCCUGGAAGUCCCAAAAGAAAAGAUAUAUAAAUUUGGCCAGGCACAGUGACUCACACCUGUAAUUCCAGCACUUUGGGAGGCCGAGGCAGGUGUAUCACCUGAGGUUAGGAGUUCCAGACCAGCCUGGCCAACAUGGUGAAACCCUGUCUCUACUAAAAAUACAAAAAAAUUAGCUGAGCAUGAUGGUGGGCGCCUGUAAUCCCAGCUACUCGGGAGGCUGAGGCAGGAGAAUCGCUUGAACCUAGGAGGUGGAGGUUGCAGUGUGCUGAGAUCAUGCCACUGCACAACAGCUUGGGUGACAACAGCGAGGGAAACUCUGUCUCAAAAAAAAAAAAAAGAUAUAUAAAUUUGACUGCAGAAAUAUAUUUUUACACGGAGGAAAAAAAAUCCCCAUAAGCAAAGUCAAAAGACAAGUGACAAACCAGGGAAAAAUAUUGGUAACUCAUCAAAACUGAAGACUGGUUUUACUGAUAUAAAAGUGCACCAGAGGCCAGGUGCAGUGGCUCACGCCUGUAAUCCCAGCGCUUUGGGAGACUGAGGCAGGCGGAUCACCUGAAGUCAGGAGUUUGAGACCAUCCUGGCUAACAUGGUGAAACCCCAUCUCUACUAAAAAUACAAAAAAUUAGCCAGGCAUGGUGAUAUGCGCCUGUAAUCCCAGCUACUCAGGAGGCUGAGGCAGAAGAAUCGAUUCGCUUGAUCCCGGGAGGCAGAAGUUGCAGUGAGCCAAGAUCACGCCACUGCACUCCAGCCUGGGCGACAGAGCAAGACUCCCUCUCAAAAAAAAGUGCACCAGGCCAGGCAUAGUGGCUCACACCUGUAAUCCCAGCACUUUGGGAGGCUGAGGCAGGUGGAUCACCUGAGGUCAGGAGUUCGAGACCAGCCUGGCCAACAUGGUAAAACCCUGUCUCUACUAAAAAUACAAAAAAUUAGCCAGGCAUGGUGGCAGGCACCUGUAGUCCCAGCUACUCGGGAGGCUGAGGCACAAGAAUCACUUGAACCUGGGAGGCGGAGGUUAGUGAGCCGAGAUUGCACCAUUGCACUCCAGCCUGAGCAACAAGAGUGAAACUCCAUCUUAAAAAAUAAUAAUAAAUAAAUAAAAAUAAAGCAUGUCCCCGUGAUGAAACCUUCUGAAGGCCAGGUGUGGUGGCUCAUGCCUGUAAUCCCAGCACUUUGGGAGGCCAAGGUGGGCAGAUCACCUAAGGUCAGGAGUUCCAGACCAGCCUGGCCAGCAUGGUGAAACCCUGUCUCUACUAAAAAUAGAAAAAAUUAGCCGGGCGUGGUGGCAGGCACCUGUAAUCCCAGCUACUCGGGAAGCUGAGGCAGGAGAAUCGCUUGAACCUGGGAGACGGAGGUUGCAGUGAGCCGAGAUCGCGCCAUUGCACUCCAGCCUGGGCGACAGAGCAAGACUCCAUCUCAAAAAUAAAUAAAUAAAAAAAAUAAAAUAAAAUAAAAGUGCACCUAACAAAUGAGUAAGAAAAAUACCAACAAUUUAGGGGAAAUACAGGCAGGCUACAGACAGACAGGAACGGAGUUUUAAGCAUAGGAAAAGAUACUCAUCCUCACUCAUAGUAAAACAAUUGUAAAUAAAAUCUACACUGAGAUACAACUUUUUACCUAUCAAGUAGUCACAGAUCGAAAGGUUUGUUAGCACAGUGGAGAAGAGGGUAAAGAAACUGGCAUGCUCAUACUUUGUUAUUGGAAGUGAAAUUGGAGAAAUCUCUGUGGAGAUUAGGUACUUAGCCGUAGCUACCAAAGUUACAGUUGCAAUUACCAUUUUAUCUUGCAGUUCCACUGCUAAGAAUUUAUCCUACAGAUAGUCUCAGACAAGUGUGAAAUAAUGUAUUGCAAAGUUGUUUGAUGCAAAAUUAGAAUUAACCUGAAUAUCAAGCAACAGGUGGUUAAAAUUGUCUGGCAGAUCCAUAAGAUAUUUUUCUAUAUAGCUGUAAAAAGGAAUGAAAUCGCAUUUUGUGUACUGAUGGGAAAUAAUCUCCAGUAUACAUUAUUAAGUGAAAAAAGACAAAGUGUAUAUAAGUGAAAAAAGACAGUGUGUACAGUACUCUGCCUUUCAUGUAAAAACAUAAUGGAGAACACACUGUACACAAAAAAUAACUCAACAUGGAUCAAAGACCUAAAUGUAAGAGCUAAAACAUAAAAUCCUUAGAAGAAAGCACACUUUGUGUAUGAGUGAUUAAAGAAAAUUGAGAAGUUGGGCUUAAUCAAA